GAAUGAACUAGCCCUGAAAAUGGAUGUCGCUUAAGCGGAGUGCCGACACCGACCCGUUUGGGUAAGCAAAGACCUAAAUGAGUAGGAGGGCGUGGCGAUUUUGUUCAGAAGGGUUCGACGCAAGUCGGCCUGGAACGGUCGCUAGUGCAGAUCUUGGUGGUAGUAGCAAAUAUUUAAGCGUGAUCCUUAAAGGACGAAGCGGGGAAGGGUUCCAUGCGAACAUUGAUUGGGCAUGGGUGAGUCGUUCCUAAGCCGGGGGGCAAUCGUUUUACGAUCGGCGAAAGGGAAGUUGGUUAAAAUUCCAACACACGGAUGUGAAGGCGGCGACGCAAAUUGAGGUGGAGACGCUAGCGGUGACACUAGGCAGAGUUUUCUUUUCUGUUUAACCUGUGCUGCACUCUGUGGAAUCCGUUUAUCGGGAGAAACAGGUGCCUAACGGGAAGAGCGUCGGGGGGUCCCCGGCGUCUAGUAUGUCACCGAUAGCCCUUGAAAAUCCAUCUGCAAUCUAAUUUCACGCCGUGGCGUACCGAUAACCGCAGCAGGUCCCCAAGGUGAACAGCCUCUGUCU
rnacentral:rRNA from 1 species